rnacentral:rRNA from 1 species
UACUGGCAAGUCGAACGAUACUCUUUAGCUUGCUAAGGAGGAAAGUGGCGCACGGGUGCGUAACGCGUAUGCAACCUACCUUAAUCAGGGGGAUAGCCCGAAGAAAUUCGGAUUAACACCGCAUAAAAUCACAGUACAGCAUUGUACAAUGAUCAAAUAUUUAUAGGAUUAAGAUGGGCAUGCGUGACAUUAGUUAGUUGGCGGGGUAACGGCCCACCAAGACCACGAUGUCUAGGGGAUCUGAGAGGAUGACCCCCCACACUGGUACUGAGACACGGACCAGACUCCUACGGGAGGCAGCAGUAAGGAAUAUUGGUCAAUGGAGGCAACUCUGAACCAGCCAUGCCGCGUGCAGGAAGACAGCCCUCUGGGUCGUAAACUGCUUUUAUUCGGGAAUAAACCUACUUACGUGUAAGUAGCUGAAUGUACCGAAGGAAUAAGGAUCGGCUAACUCCGUGCCAGCAGCCGCGGUAAUACGGAGGAUCCAAGCGUUAUCCGGAUUUAUUGGGUUUAAAGGGUGCGUAGGCGGCUUUUUAAGUCAGGGGUGAAAGACGGUGGCUCAACCAUCGCAGUGCCCUUGAUACUGAAGAGCUUGAAUGAAUUAGAGGUAGGCGGAAUGUGACAAGUAGCGGUGAAAUGCAUAGAUAUGUCACAGAACACCGAUUGCGAAGGCAGCUUACUAUGAUUUUAUUGACGCUGAGGCACGAAAGCGUGGGGAUCAAACAGGAUUAGAUACCCUGGUAGUCCACGCCCUAAACGAUGAAUACUCGCUGUUAGCGAUACACAGUUAGCGGCUAAGCGAAAGCGUUAAGUAUUCCACCUGGGGAGUACGGUCGCAAGAUUGAAACUCAAAGGAAUUGACGGGGGCCCGCACAAGCGGAGGAGCAUGUGGUUUAAUUCGAUGAUACGCGAGGAACCUUACCCGGGCUUGAAAGUUAGUGAAUCAUUUAGAGAUAGAUGAGUCCGCAAGGACACGAAACUAGGUGCUGCAUGGCUGUCGUCAGCUCGUGCCGUGAGGUGUUGGGUUAAGUCCCGCAACGAGCGCAACCCCUAUGUUUAGUUGCCAGCACGUUAUGGUGGGGACUCUAAACAGACUGCCUGUGCAAACAGAGAGGAAGGAGGGGACGACGUCAAGUCAUCAUGGCCCUUACGUCCGGGGCUACACACGUGCUACAAUGGAUGGUACAGAGGGCAGCAAGCUGGUAACAGCAAGCAAAUCUCCAAAAGCCAUUCACAGUUCGGAUAGAGGUCUGCAACUCGACCUCUUGAAGUUGGAUUCGCUAGUAAUCGUAUAUCAGCAAUGAUACGGUGAAUACGUUCCCGGGCCUUGUACACACCGCCCGUCAAGCCAUGGAAGUUGGGGGUACCUAAAGUAUGUAACCGCAAG